rnacentral:snRNA from 1 species
AUACUAAAUCGGCAACACAUAUGCUUAAAUUGGAACGAUACAGAGAAGAUUAGCAUGGCCCCUGCGCAAACACAUCACCAAGAUGUCAGUCCAGAGAGC